CUGCUAAGGAAGUUAGUUACCUGGCCUCAGAAAUCACUGCAUUAGCAGAGUGCACCAAAUAGACCCAGAGAUAAAAGGUCAUUUAUUGCACAUUGUAUUUUUCAGAGAUUUAAGCUGUAAUGGCCCAGAUAUGUCUUUACCUUGCCUUGGAAUUGCCACUCAGCAACAGGUACCUCAUCGGAGACUGUGCUAGCCUGAAAAUUUUCUGAACAAAAUUUGCAGAAGCUCUGUGUGGCCAUUCUGUAUUCCAGAACAAUCUGAGGGAGCCAUCUCAUCUUAUCAGUGCAUUAAGCAGAAGCGCACAUUACUGCUCUCCCACCUGAUUUUAUGUUACAUGGACCUGCUCUGUUAAUCUGCCUACAGCAUAAAAUCUUGAAAUGAAUCUCACCAAGAGGGUCCAAUCCCUUUCUCAUUCAUUACUGAAAGGAUUCACAUGAGUCAAGACUACUCCUGCUCCUAAGCAUAUAAGAAUGUAUGCCCCUAGGUCACAGAUUUUGGACCAGAAAGUCAUGAUUUCAACUCUCAGGUCAUGUUUUGGGCUCAUAGCUAAUCUGGACGUUGUAGCACUAGGUCAAAAGUGGAAAUGAUUUUGCCAACUCAUUCUGCUUCCAGUGGUCAGAUGCUCAUAAGAAAACACCACCACAACAGGUACCUAAUUAGCACCUAUGCUGGAUAUAUAAGUGAAGAAGCCUAGGACUGAAUGAAAAUGGAAACUGUAUAAUGCUUGCGUCAAACUCCAGUAGUGAGCCUUCCAGAUCAAGUUAAGGCUCAUUGUAUGGGGAAGCUGGCAAUACUACUGUGGUACUGCUACACAAACGCUGAUGCACAAAAGCUGCUUCCUUCCACAUAGGUAGAAAUCAUGACAACUCCUUCUCCCUUAUUCUCCUUCUUGACUCCAGGACAGUUUUCAUGCAUUAGGAUCUCUUUCUGAGCUGAUGGUAAGGAAAUACUUGUGCCCAGUUUUCAAAACAUUAGGUGUGCAGUAGUACAUAGACAGUUUGCCUUGUCAUCUGUCUGUCUUGUUAUCGCACAUAUAUCAUAUUAUUUGUUUCCUGAAUGUUAUUCUGAAAGGAAAAAAUCUCUAUCACUCCUUUUCUAAAUGUGACAGUUUAGAUAGAUACAACUGGAAAAAAAUGUUCCCAAGAGUAUUCAUGUUCUUAGUUUGAAGCCUUUCCCCUGCUUAUUUCCUGUCUUAACUUUUGCUAGGAUUUUUCCAUGUGAGAGAGAUUAAUAAUUAAUCAUAAAUAAUGAAUAAAUAAGCCGUUGCACUGUGUAUCCAACAGCACGCCUGACUUUCUCCAAAUCAGGUGCUGAAUAUAUAAAGACUGUUUUUUUUUUAAGUGCACUCCAUUUUAACUUUCAUGAUGUUUGUUAUAUAAGGAAUAACUGUCGGUAGUGUCAUUUUAAAUACUCUCUUUUUGUAUUUGGCUUAUGCUAAUGGCAAUGCUGCAGAACUUUAGCUUUUUUUCCUUUAAUAGUUAUUCCUGAUUUCCUGCUGUGGAUAUAUAUUGAACAUAAGAAAUUAGCUGCAGAGAGAAUUAGAGGGUGUAAGUGUGAUUGUCUGAGUCACGUAAAUGCCAAAAGCUUUUUGUGACAUUUUUGAGACUUUAAAAAUGGAAAUAUGUUAUUUGCACACUGGCUCCUGAUGGAAUAUGACACAGUGCAGACAUGCUGUGAGUUUAAGAUUGGGCUCUAGGCCAUUAGUGGCUAUGUACACGGGGGGCCUUGGGCUUCAUGGAGGCAAUGCAAUGAGCCACAUUCUGUAUGGACCUCCUUUGUUGAUGAGCUAAAGAAUCUUUAUCAAAUCAAUGAAAGCUAAUGAGAAUUGUGGACUCGCUAUCCAGAUUUCAACUUUAAAGAAUAUAAUUCAAGCUUGAUGUAACUUUUGUCUUUUUUCCAGAUGGUCUUACACUUUCACUGUAAUCACUUUUGAAAUAUUAACAGGUUCCAGUACAUUCAGUUUUAAAUGCAUAACUUCCAACU